rnacentral:rRNA from 1 species
GACGAACGCUGGCGGCGUGCUUAACACAUGCAAGUCGAACGAAGAGGCGAACGGGUGAGUAAUACGAGAGUAACCUACCCUACUUUUUGGGUUAAGCCUAGGAAACGGGGUAUACUCCCGAACAAAGGGGGAUGGGCUCGCGGACUAUCAGCUAGUUGGUGGGGUGAUGGCCUACCAAGGCGGUGACGGGUAGCCGGCCUGAGCGGGUGACCGGCCACAUUGAGACGGCGAUACGGCCCAGAGUGCUACGGGAGGCGGCAGUGGGGGAUAUUGCACAAUGGUCGAACGCCUGAUGCAGCGACGCCGCGUGGGGGAUGAAGGCUUUCGGGUUGUAAACCUCUUUCGCUAUCGAACCGGUAGGUGGAGAAAAAGCGACGGCUAACUACGUGCCAGCAGCCGCGGUAAUAC